CGGUGGGCACUUCGCGUCUUCCUGCAGAUGUACUACGUGGACGACCGAUUCACUGAUCGAGCAUUUGCGUAUCGGCAUGGCUUGGUGUCUGCGUACCAGGAGCCAGGCCUCAUGGUUCUACCAACAGCGCUCUAAGUGAAGUCAUCAAGAACUUUAUUGACAAGUCCUGAGGAGUUUAAGCCGCCGGGGAAUCCACGAGGGACACCCUAGCAGCCGCUACCGUAGGCGACGCCCGAGUCGGGGCGGGAACGUGGUGGCGUUCCGCCAGUUCUUGGGCCCUCCGGACUGCCUUGAGUUGGGGGUGGAGCUCGGAGCUACUGAGUGCCUCUUCCCAGUCGGACUAACUGGUGACUGGUCCCCGAGGAUCCGGAGAGUAGCAGAAUUCGCGACGUGUCCUGCGAUGCCCAGGGGUUCAGCUGUUUCGACAAUGCUUCGCAGCGGCUCGGUGACCCAUACCAGCGUACUUGGUGUCUUCUCCAUCUGGUACUUUGGGGUUCUGUCGAUCAAGUGUUCUGCACGACCGAGCGUGCUUGUCAGCGAGUUGCGUUCUCACCGCAAUCGAGAUGUUCAACCAUUGCAGUAACGGUGGACCAAGAGCAGCAGAGUUCAAGGACUAUGAAAUGCUGGUGCGUAAAUACAUUCACCGAGGUGUAUAUUAUCUAUUGAGGACCAAUGAUUGCUUGCGUGUGGUUUCGCUUUUGAAUUGUUCAAUUGCGAAAGCGUAUGCUCA